CACGUAGGGUGCGAGCGUUGUCCGGAAUUAUUGGGCGUAAAGAGCUCGUAGGCGGUGUGUCGCGUCGGCCGUGAAAACCUGCAGCUUAACUGUGGGCUUGCGGUCGAUACGGGCAUCACUGGAGUUCGGCAGGGGAGACUGGAAUUCCUGGUGUAGCGGUGAAAUGCGCAGAUAUCAGGAAGAACACCGGUGGCGAAGGCGGCUCUCUGGGGCCUUA
rnacentral:rRNA from 1 species